rnacentral:rRNA from 1 species
CGGAUUGGAGUCUGCAACCCGACUCCAUGAAGCUGGAUUCGCUAGUAAUCGCGCAUCAGCCACGGCGCGGUGAAUACGUUCCCGGGCCUUGUACACACCGCCCGUCAAGCCAUGGGAGCCGGGGGUGCCUGAAGGCCGUGACCGCGAGGAGCGGCCUAGGGUAAAACUGGUGACUGGGGCUAAGUCGUAACAAGGUAAC